CCGCCGUGGCGAAAACGCGAACAUGCUAUGUUCGCCGGGAACCGCUCGCCAGCGAACUGUUCGGUACAUCACUACCAAUCACACAUCCCUGUGACGGCAACUUUGCAUUCGGAUGUCAUCCAUAUCAACUUUCGAUGCCAGUUUCUGCACCUACCAUGGUGACCACGGGUAACGUGGAAUAAGGGUACCAUUCUGUAUUACAUACAGGGACCCUGAGAAACGGCUACCACAUGCAAGUAAGGCAGCAGACGCUUAAAUGACCCACUCCUGACGCGGGAAGGUAGUGACGACAAAUAAUACAGAACUCUUUAGAGGACCUGUAAUUAUAAUGUGUCCACUUGAAAUCCUUUAACUCUGAUCAAUUGGAGUGAAGUCUGGUGCAGAGCCACUGACCCGUGCGUGCUGCAGCUGAAACUCCACU